rnacentral:rRNA from 1 species
GGGGAAUAUUGCACAAUGGGCGAAAGCCUGAUGCAGCAACGCCGCGUGAUUGAUGAAGGCCUUCGGGUUGUAAAGCUCUGUCUUCUGUGACGAUAAUGACGGUCCCAGAGGAGGAAGCCACGGCUAACUACGUGCCAGCAGCCGCGGUAAUACGUAGGUGGCAAGCGUUGUCCGGAUUUACUGGGCGAAAAGGAUGCGUAGGCGGAUACUUUAGUCAGAUGUGAAAAUCCCGGGCUUAACUUGGGAACUGCAUUUGAAACUGGGUAUCUAGAGUGCGGGAAAUGAGAGUUGAAUUCCUAGUGUAUCGGUGAAAUGCGUAG